rnacentral:rRNA from 1 species
UUAUUACUGCAAAGAAAUAUAUAUUUAUUUAAAGUUUAUUACCUUUUGCAUAAUGGUUUAAUAAAAUAUAUUAAAAUUAUAUAUCCCGAAGUUAGAAGAUCUAAUUAUAUUAACUUAUUAGAAAUAAUUUAUAUAAUGUUUCAAAAUUAUAAAUAUAAAUAUAAUUAGGGGUGAAAGGCCUAUCAAUUCUAAAGAUAUCUGGAAUAAUUUUAAAUGUAUUUAGUACAAAUUGAGAUUUGAAUAAAAAAAUGUUAAGAUUUUUUUAAUUAUAGAAUAUUAAAUUAAAUGUAUUAUAUGAGUUAAUCCUCUAAUAUUAAUUUAUUAAAAUAAUUUAAUAUUAAGUAUAUCUAUAUAUUAAAAUUAUAUUUAAAUUUAAUUAAAUUAAGAAUUAACUAUGUUAAAAUUAGUAUAUAUUUUUUGUUUUAUUAAGGAACUCGGCUAAUUAUUAUUCACCUGUUUAUCAAAAACAUAGUCUUAUGUAUUUAUAUAAGGUGAAACCUGCCCACUGAUGUUAAAUUUAAUGGCCGCAGUACCUUGACUGUGCUAAGGUAGCAUAAUAAAUUGACUUUUAAUUGGGGCCUUGAAUGAACGGAUAAAUGGAUAAUUUCUGUCUCAAUAAAAAUUUUAUAAGUUACUUAAAAGGUGAAAAUUCCUUUAAAUAAAUUAAAUAGACGAGAAGACCCUAGGAGUUUUUAAUUUUGUUGGGGCGACAGUAUAGCAUUAUAACCUAUAUAUAAAUAUUUAUAUAAAACGAAUAAUUUUAAUAAUAAAUAAACUACCCUAGGGAUAACAGCAUAAUUUAAUUUUAAGUUUGUGACCUCGAUGUUGGACUAGGGACUUUUAAAGCUAACAGUGUUAAUUGACAGUUCUGUUCGA